GCAGUCGAGCGGACAGAUGGGAGCUAUGCUUCCCUGAUGUAUAGCGGCGGACGGGUGAGUAACACGUGGGUAACCUGCCUGUAAGACUGGGAUAACUCCGGGAAACCGGGGCUAAUACCGGAUGGUUGUUUGAACCGCAUGGUUCAAACAUAAAAGGUGGCUUCGGCUACCACUUACAGAUGGACCCGCGGCGCAUUAGCUAGUUGGUGAGGUAACGGCUCACCAAGGCAACGAUGCGUAGCCGACCUGAGAGGGUGAUCGGCCACACUGGGACUGAGACACGGCCCAGACUCCUACGGGAGGCAGCAGUAGGGAAUCUUCCGCAAUGGACGAAAGUCUGACGGAGCAACGCCGCGUGAGUGAUGAAGGUUUUCGGAUCGUAAAGCUCUGUUGUUAGGGAAGAACAAGUACCGUUCGAAUAGGGCGGUACCUUGACGGUACCUAACCAGAAAGCCACGGCUAACUACGUGCCAGCAGCCGCGGUAAUACGUAGGUGGCAAGCGUUGUCCGGAAUUAUUGGGCGUAAAGGGCUCGCAGGCGGUUUCUUAAGUCUGAUGUGAAAGCCCCCGGCUCAACCGGGGAGGGUCAUUGGAAACUGGGGAACUUGAGUGCAGAAGAGGAGAGUGGAAUUCCACGUGUAGCGGUGAAAUGCGUAGAGAUGUGGAGGAACACCAGUGGCGAAGGCGACUCUCUGGUCUGUAACUGACGCUGAGGAGCGAAAGCGUGGGGAGCGAACAGGAUUAGAUACCCUGGUAGUCCACGCCGUAAACGAUGAGUGCUAAGUGUUAGGGGGUUUCCGCCCCUUAGUGCUGCAGCUAACGCAUUAAGCACUCCGCCUGGGG
rnacentral:rRNA from 2 species